rnacentral:rRNA from 1 species
GACAGAGGGGGCAAGCGUUGCUCGGAAUUACUGGGCGUAAAGGGCGCGUAGGCGGGAUGGCAAGUCGGUCGUGAAAUCCUUCGGCUCAACCGAAGAACGUCGAUCGAUACUGCUGUUCUUGAGGGUUGCAGAGGAGACUGGAAUUCCCGGUGUAGCGGUGAAAUGCGCAGAUAUCAGGAGGAACACCAGCGGCGAAGGCGGGCAUCUGGGCUAACACUGACGCUGAGGCGCGAAAGCUAGGGGAGCAAACAGG